rnacentral:hammerhead_ribozyme from 1 species
CACUGCAUGAAGAGUCCCAUAAUAGGACGAAACGGCCGUCCAGUG